rnacentral:rRNA from 1 species
UACGUAGGGUGCAAGCGUUAAUCGGAAUUACUGGGCGUAAAGCGUGCGCAGGCGGUUAUAUAAGUCAGACGUGAAAUCCCCGGGCUCAACCUGGGAACUGCAUUUGAGACUGUAUGGCUAGAGUGCGUCAGAGGGGGGUAGAAUUCCACGUGUAGCAGUGAAAUGCGUAGAUAUGUGGAGGAAUACCGAUGGCGAAGGCAGCCCCCUGGGAUGACACUGACGCUCAUGCACGAAAGCGUGGGGAGCAAACAGG